AUUGAACGCUGGCGGCAGGCCUAACACAUGCAAGUCGAACGAGUGGCGGACGGGUGAGUAAUGUCUGGGAAACUGCCCGAUGGAGGGGGAUAACUACUGGAAACGGUAGCUAAUUCCACAUUCCAUCGGAUGUGCCCAGAUGGGAUGAGCGAGGGGGGGGGGAAUCGGCUCACCUAGGCGACGACCCCUAGCUGGUCCGAAGGGAUGACCGGCAACAUUGGAACGGAGCAACGGUCAAACUCCCUACGGGAGGCAGCGUGGGGGAAUAUUGCACAAGGGGCGAAAGCCUGCUGCGGACAUGCGGCGUGUAUGGGAAGGGCCUUCGGGUUGUAAAGUACUUUAAGCGAGGAGGCGUUACUCGCAGAAGAAGCACCGGCUAACUCCGUGCCAGCAGCCGCGGUAAUUC
rnacentral:rRNA from 1 species